CCUCCGGGGGCCCAAAGAGCGUCGGUCUUUCAAGCCGAAGGUCGCCAGUUCGAAUCUGGUCGGGCGCA
rfam:Solirubrobacterales bacterium 70-9 SCNpilot_bf_inoc_scaffold_8145, whole genome shotgun sequence.